rnacentral:rRNA from 1 species
UUUGGAGCACUUCAGAAAAAUCGUACUUGGCAUCUGGUUCCUUUCCGUCCAGGUACAAAUCUAAUUGAUUGUAAGUGGGUUUUUCGCAUCAAGCGAUGGUCAGAUGGUUCCAUAGAUCGCUACAAAGCUCGUCUCGUUGCCAAAGGAUUCAAGCAAAGGUACGACCUUGACUAUGAGGACACAUUUAGUCCAGUUGUUAAAGCCGUCACUAUUCGUCUUGUUUUAUCCAUAGCUGUCUCUCGAGGUUGGUGCCUUCGUCAGCUAGAUCUACAGAACGCAUUCCUGCAUGGUGUUCUAGAAGAGGAAGUUUACAUGAAGCAACCUCCUGGGUUUGUUGAUCCUGAUAAACCAUUUCAUAUCUGUAAACUGGAUAAAUCGCUCUAUGGACUGAAGCAAGCUUCAAGGGCAUGGUAUUCU